UACGUAGGCAGCAAGCGUUGUUCGGAGUUACUGGGCGUAAAGGGUGUGUAGGCGGUUGUUUAAGUUUGGUGUGAAAUCUCCCGGCUCAACUGGGAGGGUGCGCCGAAUACUGAAUGACUAGAGUGUGGGAGAGGUGAGUGGAAUUCCUGGUGUAGCGGUGAAAUGCGUAGAUAUCAGGAGGAACACCGGUGGUGUAGACGGCUCACUGGACCAUAACUGACGCUGAGACACGAAAGCGUGGGGAGCGAACAGG
rnacentral:rRNA from 1 species